rfam:Monodelphis domestica chromosome 8, whole genome shotgun sequence.
AUCGCCAGUACCUACUGCAACAUCUUUUCUCCCUACACAGCGACUCCAGCUUGGGAGGGCAGGGCUAGGGGUUGUCACAGCUUUCCCUGUGGUGUCUGCCUGCCAAGUACAGCUCUGGAGUUAGCCGUGGGGUGUGAGG